rnacentral:lncRNA from 1 species
CAAAAAUUGACUUUAUUACCAGCAGAUAUUUAUAAAAAGAAAUACUAAAGCAUGUUCUUUAGGAAGAAGAAAUAAUGAUCCUAGAUAGAGGCUCAGAAACUCAGGGUCAUAAAGCGCAAGAGACAGGUAAAUGGUUGAAUAAAUAUAAAUGCAGAGUAAUUGUGUAAAAAUGAUGUAUUUAGGAAUUGGAGACAUUAAGUAUACACUAUGUAUGUAACGUAAGGGGGGUUGGUAAAUAUAGUUGAUGUGUUCUCAGGUUGUUGUACCAUCCAACAGAUGGGAGAGGCACAAUACAAAUUACUAAAAGAAUAUUUAACUCUCAAGCUGAUGGGGUGAAGGAAAUAGAAGAAGUAAAAAAUUAACCUAAAAGAAUGCAAAAAAGGACAAAAUUGACAUAAGAGACAUAGGACAAAUAAAGACCAAUUGCUAUCUUAAUAGAUUCAAAUCUAAGCAUAUUAGUAACUGUGUUACAUGUAAGUGGAUUAAACACUUCAAUUAAAAAAAAUACUAUUAGAGUAGAUUUAAAAAAUAUAUGAUCUCAUCCCACUUUUCAGGUUAAAAUGCCUUUCUCAUCACACUCAGAAUAAAAUCCAAAUCUUUUCCUGGCUUUCAAUGCCAAUAUGACUUAGCCCCUUCAUACUCCCUAAACUUACUCUUUUCUUAGUCACCAUGCUCUCAACAGUUAGGCUUCUUUUGUUCCUAAAAUAUUCCAAAUUAGUUCAUGCCUCAAGGUUUUGUACUACUGUCCCCUCUGCAAACAUGAUUUCCUCAAUUUUUGAAAAGCUGGAUUUUCCUGUCAAAUAGGAGCUUAAAUGGUGCUUUCUUAGAAGCUUUCCUCAGUCACCUCAUCUAAAAGCCAUCUAUUUUAAUUGCUUGCCUAGCACUAUUACUACCUUAUGUUUUUAUUUAUGGUCUAUUACCACUGAAAUGUGAAUUCCCUCAUAGUAGGGACUAAGUGUCUAGGGACUAUUUACCAUUAUUUCUCCAAGUCUAGAACAGUGACUGAAACACAAUAGAUACUUAGUAUUUAAUGAAUGAAAAAGUUAACUUCGUUUUUAAGCAGUUAGGUAUUAUGAUUUUGUUUAUUGCUCUUGGUGGCUGUUUAAAGACUCUCCGAGUAGCAAAAGGUAUCAAAUGAAACCAAGAUCCCAUUUAUAUAUGUUAAGGAUCCUUGAAAAUGUGCAGAGUAUACUUUGUGUAAAAUUUGCAGUAGUUAUUGUAAUUAAUUAGGUAUGUGGUGUGGUCCUAGAAGCAACUUUAGUAAUAUAUAAGUAAUGGAAAGUUUCAGAGGAAAGCUACUGAAUUAUUAAAGGGUUGCAAUGUACUUCUGAAGAGCAUUUUUCUUUUGUUUUUCCCAAAUUAGUAAGAUGAGAAUUAUAGAGAGGUUACAAGGCAUAAUUUUGAGAAAGAAAGAAGCUCCUUUCAUCCAUUCUUAAAUAAAAGAUAAUUUUUGAAAUUACUCCCUUACAGAAAGGUUUAGAAGGUAGUUCUAGGAAUGGUGAUUGAUCUAUUUUGGUAACUUCCUUUUUUAACUUUGUUCUAUGUUUAGGAUUUUUUUUUUUUCCUCCAAAUCAAAGCAAUCAUACUGGUCACAAUUUUGUAGCCUACUCUUUUCACUUGGAAGACAAACUUUUUCCAUUAGAAAGACUAAUAACUUAAAAAAAAAAAAGGUAAAUAAAAUCCCACUAAGUAUACAUGAUAGAAUUUGACCAAUCUCUUAUUCCUAAUGAUCGUUCCUAUUUUUUUAACCAUUAUUACGUAUUGCUGCAAUCAACAUUUUUGUUCAGAAAGCAUUUUUUUUUUUUGGUUGGUCCAUAAAGCAUUUUAAGAGCAACGUAACUGAAGUGACUUUGUCCAUAACAUUCAUUUAAAUGGUAUUUACGGGGGAGGUAGUCAACACAAAAAGAAGGUCCCAGCUUUCCAGGCACUUAUGUCUAAACUAUAAGGAGGAAAGUAUAAAGACAUCAUAUAAGCACAUAUUAAUCGUAUUUACUAAAGAAAAGCAAGAGUAAUGGAAAUUUCUCAGAAGGGGAGUUAAUCAGGUAAACAUUUUGCAAAGAAUAUGGAGCUGGCCUUUGAUACAGUGAUAGGUGUUAAAGACUGAAAGUGUUCCAGGUCAGUGUGGGUGUUGAAGGAGGAUGUAACUUUUUGCUGGUGUUCUUAUGUAUUUGAGAACAGUUCUCACUCAGGACAUUGCAACUCAAAACAAAGCCCUAAUUAUAAGCAGCCAAGACUUUUACCAAAGAUUGGACUCCUAAUUCCCUUGCAAGACUACUGAAUUUCUUCCUAAUUUCUAUCAUGUACAUUUUUUAUUCCCUUUCAUAAUUUUCCCAUUUCUUUGAAUCUCUGUCAAAGACUCUCAUCUACUUUAGGGAAUACAAAUAGGUAAAUCCCUCAACUAUACUACAUGCAGAAAGUAAAAAUAUUAUAAAAUAUCUAUGGGAUUAAAAAAAAAAAAAAAAAA